rnacentral:miRNA from 1 species
AGCACACAGAGGGGAUUGUAUAUAUGCUUAUACCUUUGCUUUUGCGUGCUCACUUCUCUUCUUGUCAGCUUCCAUCUCCGAAAAUUUGG